rnacentral:rRNA from 1 species
GGUUAAGCGACUAAGCGUACACGGUGGAUGCCUAGGCAAUCAGAGGCGAUGAAGGACGUGCUAAUCUGCGAUAAGCGUCGGUAAGGUGAUAUGAACCGUUACAACCGACGAUUUCCGAAUGGGGAAACCCAGUGCAAUUCGUUGCACUAUCGUUUGAUGAAUACAUAGUCAAACGAAGCGAACCGGGGGAACUGAAACAUCUCAGUACCCCGAGGAAAAGAAAUCAACCGAGAUUCCCCUAGUAGCGGCGAGCGAACGGGGAGCAGCCCAGAGUCUUAAUCAGCAUUAGCAUCAGGAGAACGGUCUGGAAAGUCCGGCAGUAAAGGGUGAUAGCCCCGUAUCCGAAGGUGUUAGUGUUGUGAACUCGACGAGUAGGGCGGGACACGUGUUAUCCUGUCUGAAUAUGGGGGGACCAUCCUCCAAGGCUAAAUACUCCUGAUUGACCGAUAGUGAACCAGUACCGUGAGGGAAAGGCGAAAAGAACCCCGGCGAGGGGAGUGAAAUAGAACCUGAAACCGUGUACGUACAAGCAGUGGGAGCCUUGAUUUAUCAGGGUGACUGCGUACCUUUUGUAUAAUGGGUCAGCGACUUAUAUUCUGUAGCAAGGUUAACCGWAUAGGGGAGCCGUAGGGAAACCGAGUCUUAACUGGGCGAAUAAGUUGCAGGGUAUAGACCCGAAACCCGGUGAUCUAGCCAUGGGCAGGUUGAAGGUUGGGUAACACUAACUGGAGGACCGAACCGACUAAUGUUGAAAAAUUAGCGGAUGACUUGUGGCUGGGGGUGAAAGGCCAAUCAAACCGGGAGAUAGCUGGUUCUCCCCGAAAGCUAUUUAGGUAGCGCCUCGUGAACUCAUCUUCGGGGGUAGAGCACUGUUUCGACUAGGGGGUCAUCCCGACUUACCAACUCGAUGCAAACUACGAAUACCGAAGAAUGUUAUCACGGGAGACACACGGCGGGUGCUAACGUUCGUCGUGAAGAGGGAAACAACCCAGACCGCCAGCUAAGGUCCCAAAGUCAUAGUUAAGUGGGAAACGAAGUGGGAAGGCUCAGACAGCCAGGAUGUUGGCUUAGAAGCAGCCAUCAUUUAAAGAAAGCGUAAUAGCUCACUGGUCGAGUCGGCCUGCGCGGAAGAUGUAACGGGGCUAAACUAUGCACCGAAGCUGCGGCAGCGAUAUUUAGAUAUUGUUGGGUAGGGGAGCGUUCUGUAAGCCUGUGAAGGUGURCUGUGAGGYAUGCUGGAGGUAUCAGAAGUGCGAAUGCUGACAUAAGUAACGAUAAUGCGGGUGAAAAACCCGCACGCCGGAAGACCAAGGGUUCCUGUCCAACGUUAAUCGGGGCAGGGUGAGUCGACCCCUAAGGCGAGGCAGAAAUGCGUAGUCGAUGGGAAACGGGUUAAUAUUCCCGUACUGGUGAUAAUUGCGAUGGGGGGACGGAGAAGGCUAGGCUAUCCGGGCGACGGUUGUCCCGGUUUAAGGAUGUAGGCAGGUGAAUUAGGCAAAUCCGGUUCACUAUAUGCUGAGGUCCGAYGACGAGUCACUACGGUGAUGAAGUAGCUCAUGCCCCGCUUCCAGGAAAAGCCUCUAAGCUCUAGAUUAUCAUUAAUCGUACCCCAAACCGACACAGGUGGUCAGGUAGAGAAUACUCAGGCGCUUGAGAGAACUCGGGUGAAGGAACUAGGCAAAAUGGUGCCGUAACUUCGGGAGAAGGCACGCUGGCAUUAGGUGAAGUGAUUUACUCAUGGAGCUGAAGCCAGUCGCAGAUACCAGCUGGCUGCAACUGUUUAUUAAAAACACAGCACUGUGCAAACACGAAAGUGGACGUAUACGGUGUGACGCCUGCCCGGUGCUGGAAGGUUAAUUGAUGGGGUUAUCCGUAAGGAGAAGCUCUUGAUCGAAGCCCCAGUAAACGGCGGCCGUAACUAUAACGGUCCUAAGGUAGCGAAAUUCCUUGUCGGGUAAGUUCCGACCUGCACGAAUGGCGUAAUGAUGGCCAGGCUGUCUCCACCCGAGACUCAGUGAAAUUGAACUCGCUGUGAAGAUGCAGUGUACCCGCGGCAAGACGGAAAGACCCCGUGAACCUUUACUAUAGCUUGACACUGAACAUUGAGCCUUGAUGUGUAGGAUAGGUGGGAGGCUUYGAAGYGUGGACGCCAGUCUGCGUGGAGCCAACCUUGAAAUACCACCCUUUAAUGUUUGAUGUUCUAACGUUGCCCCAUUAUCUGGGGUGCGGACAGUGUCUGGUGGGUAGUUUGACUGGGGCGGUCUCCUCCCAAAGAGUAACGGAGGAGCACGAAGGUUGGCUAAGCAUGGUCGGACAUCAUGCGGUUAGUGCAAAGGCAUAAGCCAGCUUGACUGCGAGAGUGACGGCUCGAGCAGGUACGAAAGUAGGUCUUAGUGAUCCGGUGGUUCUGAAUGGAAGGGCCAUCGCUCAACGGAUAAAAGGUACUCCGGGGAUAACAGGCUGAUACCGCCCAAGAGUUCAUAUCGACGGCGGUGUUUGGCACCUCGAUGUCGGCUCAUCACAUCCUGGGGCUGAAGUAGGUCCCAAGGGUACGGCUGUUCGCCGUUUAAAGUGGUACGCGAGCUGGGUUUAGAACGUCGUGAGACAGUUCGGUCCCUAUCUGCCGUGGGCGUUGGAAGAUUGAAAGGGGCUGCUCCUAGUACGAGAGGACCGGAGUGGACGCACCACUGGUGUUCGGGUUGUCAUGCCAAUGGCAUUGCCCGGUAGCUAAGUGCGGAAGAGAUAACCGCUGAAAGCAUCUAAGCGGGAAACUUGCCUUGAGAUGAGUCUUCCCUGACUCUUUAAGGGUCCUAAAGGAACGUUUAAGACUAAGACGUUGAUAGGUUGGGUGUGUAAGCGUAGCGAUACGUUGAGCUAACCAAUACUAAUGAACCGUGAGGCUUAACCUG